rnacentral:rRNA from 1 species
AGAGGGGGAUAACAUUCUGAAAAGAAUGCUAAUACCGCAUGACAUAUCGGAACCACAUGGUUCUGAUAUCAAAGAUUUUAUCGCUUGAAGAUGGACUCGCGUCCGAUUAGUUAGUUGGUGAGGUAACGGCUCACCAAGACCGCGAUCGGUAGCCGGACUGAGAGGUUGAACGGCCACAUUGGGACUGAGACACGGCCCAGACUCCUACGGGAGGCAGCAGUGGGGGAUAUUGCGCAAUGGGGGCAACCCUGACGCAGCAACGCCGCGUGAAGGAUGAAGGUUUUCGGAUUGUAAACUUCUUUUAUUAAGGACGAAAAAUGACGGUACUUAAUGAAUAAGCUCCGGCUAACUACGUGCCAGCAGCCGCGGUAAUACGUAGGGAGCAAGCGUUGUCCGGAUUUACUGGGUGUAAAGGGUGCGUAGGCGGCUUUGCAAGUCAGACGUGAAAUCUAUGGGCUCAACCCAUAAACUGCAUUUGAAACUGUAGAGCUUGAGUGAAGUAGAGGCAGGCGGAAUUCCCCGUGUAGCGGUGAAAUGCGUAGAGAUGGGGAGGAACACCAGUGGCGAAGGCGGCCUGCUGGGCUUUAACUGACGCUGAGGCACGAAAGCGUGGGUAGCAAACAGGAUUAGAUACCCUGGUAGUCCACGCUGUAAACGA